CACGAUGUCAUUAAUUUGGUGUCGUGGGGAAUCAGGACUGUUACUUUGAAAAAAUUAGAGUGUUUAAAGCAGGCUAAAGCUUGAAUAGAUUAGCAUGGAAUAACGAAAUAGGACGUUUGAUCUUAUUUUGUUGGUUUUUAAGAUCGACGUAAUGAUUAAUAGGGCUAGUUGGGGGCAUUAGUAUUCAAUUGUCAGAGGUGAAAUUCUUGGAUUUAUUGAAGACUAACUACUGCGAAAGCAUUUGCCAAGGAUGUUUUCAUUAAUCAAGAACGAAAGUUAGGGGAUCGAAGACGAUCAGAUACCGUCGUAGUCUUAACCAUAAACUAUGCCGACUAGGGAUCGGAUGAUGUUAAUUUUUUAAUGACUCAUUCGGCACCUUACGGGAAACCAAAGUGUUUGGGUUCCGGGGGGAGUAUGGUCGCAAGGCUGAAACUUAAAGGAAUUGACGGAAGGGCACCACCAGGGGUGGAGCCUGCG
rnacentral:rRNA from 1 species